AAGAGUUGCAAAACUCCCAAACCAUAUGUUUAUCUACCUGUUUCGUUGCUUCGGCAGGCGGCUCUUCGGGGCCUUCGCCCUCUGGGUGCCUGCCGGAGUAUCUAAAAACUCUUUGUUAAUUACUGUUCUGUCUGAGUAAACUUUUAAUAAGUUA
rnacentral:misc_RNA from 1 species